UUAAUAAUGACCCUGCCUGUGUCGAGAUGCUAGCUACGUCUUUUGGGCGAGCGAUUCAGACGGCAACCAAAAAAGGAGGAGGAAGAAGGAAGAGAGAGAACCCACCAGCAAUCGCCGUAGCACCCGUCGCCAUCGCCGUCGCACCUAUCGCCAUCGCCGUCGCACCUAUCGCCAUCGCCAUCUCAGAUUCAUUUGGUUGGGUGGGUUUCUUACGCAGCUUAAGGGCAAACUCAAUCCUAUUUAACUCAGAUAAUUAAAAUGAAGAAACCUCGAGGCACAAUCUCCACAUCAAGCAAAAUAAAGUUCGAAGAAUCCGAAUCUUCGUCUUCAUCCGAAGAUGAGAAGGAGAUAGAGCAGGAGCUCGCAGAUGUGACAUUUGGAGAACUGCAAAAGGCACGCUCAAACGGGUCACAUUUAGUGCACCCAAAGCCCAAAGAAGAGAAGAAGGGUGGCCGGGCAAACAAGAACCGGCCAAUGGAGGUUGGUUGCAAGAAGCCUGUUACAAGAUUUCGAGAGAUCAUUCAAGGUUCGAAAAAGGUGGUACGUGACCCACGUUUUGAAUCUUUAUGUGGAACACUGGAUGUUGACGGGUUUAGGAAGAGAUAUGACUUUCUAUUUGCAAACGAGCUUCCUGCCGAGAGAGAGGAACUGCAGAAGCAAGUAAAGAAAUCCAAGGACCCAGAAGUCAUUGAAGAACUGAAGAAACGCAUAUCUUGGAUCGAUAAACAGCUCAAAUCUGAGUCAGCCAAGCGCACCGAAGCUGCAAUACUGGCCAAGCACAAGCAAAAAGAGAGAAAAGCAGCAAAGCAAGGGAAACAACCCUUUUUUCUUAAGAAAUCUGAGAUCCGAAAGAAACGACUUAUAGAAAAGUAUAAACAACUCAAGGGAUCUGGCAAGCUUGAAGCCUUCAUCGAGAAAAGGCGCAGGAAGAAUGCUGCAAAGGACCACAUAUACAUGCCAUACCGUAGGCCUGACAACACUGAGCAACAAAUGUAAUGACUUCACUUGGUUCUGGAGAAGCAGAGUAAAUUUUCUCAUUAGCUGAGGGGCAUUGGGAGACUACUGGAUAGUGACAUGCCAACCCCAGAGCUCUGAUGAAGGUAGGAACCUUGCUGCAGCUGGGAGAACUAGUACUAGUGGGCAUACAAAGAGUUGUGUCAGAGGCCAUUGGAGACAUGUUGAAGAUUCAAAGCUGAAAGAACUUGUGGCCCAAUAUGGUCCUCAAAAGUGGAACCUAAUAGCUGAGCAUCUUGAUGGCAGAGGGACACACAAUAUUGCAGAUUACAAUCAUCACUCAAGUCCCAACAACCCAUCACCAUUUCAUCUGCCAAAUACAACUCCAUUCACAUAGCAAAUAUCCAUAAUAGUUUCAUCUCCCCACGAAUCAAAUUUAAAGAAUCGUGGAAUAAAAAUCAACAGAUUGAAUUUUUUAAGGAAAAAAUUGAUCUGAUAAUCCUUAAUCUUCCGAGAAUAAAAAUUCAUUGUCUACAGUACUAUCAUUAUCCCAUCAUCCUUUGCGAAAAAACUGGUGCCACCCUUGCAGAUCGAUUUCCCACCACACAGAUGCUGACGUUGUUGCGAACCUUCGAUAUGCGAAACCCAGGUGGUUGGGUCGUCGCCGACCUUGAAAUCUGAGUGACGCUGCAAACCCAGAUUCUGAAUAUGCCAUUAUGUAUCUGAGGACGCGCAGAUCUCAUCCUCAAAUUGUCGACCUCACCAUCAUAAUGAAGGGGUCCAGACCUAUUGGCUCCAUGUUGUGUUGCCGACCCCACAUGGAGAUAGAGAGAGACGGAGACAGAGAGAUGGGAGGUGGCCAAGGCUAGGAGGAGAGGACUAAGGGAGAAGGAGAUGGUUGGGCGAUUCUUUGGGCGGCAACAUUGUUUUUAAUUACUUUUUUUUAUAACUAUUUUUAAAUACAAGGAAUUAUUAUUACUGUUUUGCCCAUAUAGGACAUCAUUAAAAAGGGAAUCCCAUGUUUGACACAUCAGCAUUUAAUAGAUUUAAUAACGGGUUGUGUAA